rnacentral:rRNA from 1 species
UACGUAGGUGGCAAGCGUUAUCCGGAAUUACUGGGUGUAAAGGGAGCGCAGGCGGGAGAGCAAGUCAGCGGUGAAAUGUAUGGGCUUAACCCAUGAACUGCCGUUGAAACUGUCCUUCUUGAGUGGAGUAGAGGCAAGCGGAAUUCCGAGUGUAGCGGUGAAAUGCGUAGAUAUUCGGAGGAACACCAGUGGCGAAGGCGGCUUGCUGGGCUCUAACUGACGCUGAGGCUCGAAAGUGUGGGGAG